CCUACUACAAGGACUGGCCACAUCCUGGCUUAGGCAGAGUGUUUGAUAAAGAGAUACCACACAAAUGCACAGCAACCUGAAAGUUCACACAAUGAGCAACAUGCUGCACACAAACUAUUAAUUGGAUUUCUGAGCCUUCUACUGUCAGUGAUCGAACUAUUAAAAUGUGACUUCCUUUGUAAUCCCACCAUGAUGGGAGAGGAGUAUCCAAUAGAGCUGAAGUCAACAUAAUCCUGUUCAUCCUGUCACAACUGUGGAAUUGCCCCAUUUCAGCACCG
rnacentral:lncRNA from 1 species